rnacentral:rRNA from 1 species
GACGAACGCUGGCGGCGUGCCUAAUACAUGCAAGUCGAACGCAGUGGGGACGGGGGAGUAACACGUGGGUAACCUGCCAUCAGAGGGGAUAACACUUGGAAACAGGUGCUAAACCGAUACUGAUGGAGCGACCCGCGGUGCAUUAGCUUGUUGGUGGGGUAACGGCUCACCAAGGCCACGAUGCAUAGCCGACCUGAGAGGUGGACCGGCCACACUGGAACUGAGACACGGCCCAGAUGCCUACGGGAGGCAGCAGUGGGGAAUCUUCGACAAUGGACGAAAGUCUGAUCGAGCCAUGCCGCGUGAGUGAAGAAGGUUUUCGGAUUGUAAAGCUCUGUUGUUAGGGAAGCGGUAUCUAACCAGAAAGCCACGGCUAACUCCGUGCCAGCAGCCGCGGUAAUAC